AACGGAGAGUUUGAUCCUGGCUCAGGAUGAACGCUGGCGGCGUGCUUAACACAUGCAAGUCGAACGAACCUUCGGGUUAGUGGCGGACGGGUGAGUAACGCGUGGGAAUCUGCCCUCAGGAGGGGGAUAACGGUUGGAAACGACCGCUAAUACCCCAUAUGCCGAGAGGUGAAAUGAAUUUCGCCUGAGGAUGAGCCCGCGUCUGAUUAGCUUGUUGGUGAGGUAAUGGCUCACCAAGGCUUCGAUCAGUAGCUGGUCUGAGAGGAUGAUCAGCCACACUGGGACUGAGACACGGCCCAGACUCCUACGGGAGGCAGCAGUGGGGAAUUUUCCGCAAUGGGCGAAAGCCUGACGGAGCAACGCCGCGUGAGGGACGAAGGCCUCUGGGCUGUAAACCUCUUUUCUCAAGGAAGAAGAUAUGACGGUACUUGAGGAAUAAGCCACGGCUAAUUCCGUGCCAGCAGCCGCGGUAAUACGGGAGUGGCAAGCGUUAUCCGGAAUUAUUGGGCGUAAAGCGUCCGCAGGCGGCCUUUCAAGUCUGCUGUUAAAGCGUGGAGCUUAACUCCAUCAUGGCAGUGGAAACUGAUUGGCUUGAGUAUGGUAGGGGCAGAGGGAAUUCCCGGUGUAGCGGUGAAAUGCGUAGAUAUCGGGAAGAACACCAGUGGCGAAGGCGCUCUGCUGGGCCAUUACUGACGCUCAUGGACGAAAGCCAGGGGAGCGAAAGGGAUUAGAUACCCCUGUAGUCCUGGCCGUAAACGAUGAACACUAGGUGUCGGGGGAAUCGACCCCUUCGGUGUCGUAGCUAACGCGUUAAGUGUUCCGCCUGGGGAGUACGCACGCAAGUGUGAAACUCAAAGGAAUUGACGGGGGCCCGCACAAGCGGUGGAGUAUGUGGUUUAAUUCGAUGCAACGCGAAGAACCUUACCAGGGCUUGACAUCCUGCGAACCUUUAAGAAAUUAGAGGGUGCCUUCGGGAACGCAGUGACAGGUGGUGCAUGGCUGUCGUCAGCUCGUGUCGUGAGAUGUUGGGUUAAGUCCCGCAACGAGCGCAACCCACGUUUUUAGUUGCCAGCAUUUAGUUGGGCACUCUAGAAAGACCGCCGGUGAUAAACCGGAGGAAGGUGUGGAUGACGUCAAGUCAUCAUGCCCCUUACGUCCUGGGCUACACACGUACUACAAUGCUACGGACAAAGGGCAGCAAACUCGCGAGAGCUAGCAAAUCCCAUAAACCGUGGCUCAGUUCAGAUCGUAGGCUGCAACUCGCCUACGUGAAGUAGGAAUCGCUAGUAAUCGCAGGUCAGCAUACUGCGGUGAAUACGUUCCCGGGCCUUGUACACACCGCCCGUCACACCAUGGAAGUUGGCCACGCCCGAAGUCGUUACUUUAACCCUUGUGGAGAAGGACGCCGAAGGUGGGGCUGAUGACUGGGGUGAAGUCGUAACAAGGUAGCCGUACCGGAAGGUGCGGCUGGAUCACCUCCUAA
rnacentral:rRNA from 1 species